UACGUAGGUUGCAAGCGUUACUCGGAAUUACUAGGCGUAAAGGGCUCGUAGGUGGCCAACUAAGUCAGACGUGAAAUCCCUCGGCUUAACCGGGGAACUGCGUCUGAUACUGGAUGGCUUGAGUUUGGGAGAGGGAUGCGGAAUUCCAGGUGUAGCGGUGAAAUGCGUAGAUAUCUGGAGGAACACCGGUGGCGAAGGCGGCAUCCUGGACCAACACUGACACUGAGGAGCGAAAGCCAGGGGAGCAAACGGG
rnacentral:rRNA from 1 species